UGUAGUAUUUUUCAUUACUGAAAUCUCUUUUCUAAUUUCUACCGAGCAGCUGGUUAACUUUCUUAGAAUUCAACAUAAACUCUUGUAGGUGAAUGGGAUCUGUUGCAUUCUUCUCCGACUUCAGAAAGAUCUUUUAAUAUUUCAUGUCCAUUUGGAGUGUAUGAAAUACUCAGGAUUUAGAGUAUGAGCAUCUUGCAGAAUGCUGUUUUUAGAGUGACACUGAUGAUCUGUGAAGCAUGGAACAUCUAAAAUCUCCUAAAAUUCCUCUUUUUUUUUUUUUUUUUUGGAUUAACAUGUAAAGCUAUUGAUGCCAACCAGUGAAAUAUUAUUUUAGUCAGGUGAUUUGACUGCAA